rnacentral:rRNA from 1 species
UGGUUUGAUUCUGGCUCAGGAUGAACGCUGGCGGCAUGCCUAAUACAUGCAAGUCGAACGGAGUGAAGCCUUCGGGUUUCAUUCAGUGGCGAACGGGUGAGUAAUACGCAGGGAACCUGGCCAUGGCAGGGGGAUACACUCUGGAAACGGAGCAUAAGACCCCAUAGGCAGUAAGGCGGCAUCGCCUUACUGUUAAAGAAAGCUGAAAGGCUUUGGCGAUGGAUGGACCUGCGGUGCAUUAGCUUGUUGGUGAGGCAACGGCUUACCAAGGCGAUGAUGCAUAGCCGGCCUGAGAGGGCGGACGGCCACACUGGGACUGAGACACGGCCCAGACUCCUGCGGGAGGCAGCAGUAGGGAAUUUUCGUCAAUGGGCGCAAGCCUGAACGAGCAAUGCCGCGUGAGUGAGGAAGGUCUUCGGACUGUAAAGCUCUGUUGCCGGGGAAAAAGGGGAAAUGCAGGAAAUGGCAUUUCAUGGAUGGUACCCGGCCAGAAAGCCACGGCUAACUACGUGCCAGCAGCCGCGGUAAUACGUAGGUGGCGAGCGUUAUCCGGAAUGAUUGGGCGUAAAGGGUGCGCAGGCGGUCUGUUAAGUCGGAAGGCAAAGGGAUGAGCUCAACUCAUUUAUGAUUCAGAAACUGGCAGACUUGAGGACAGGAGAGGGCGGUGGAACUCCAUGUGUAGCGGUAAAAUGCGCAGAGAUAUGGAAGAACACCAGUGGCGAAGGCGGCCGCCUGGCCUGUGACUGACGCUGAGGCACGAAAGCGUGGGGAGCAAAUAGGAUUAGAUACCCUAGUAGUCCACGCCGUAAACGAUGAGGAGCAGGUGUUGGGAGUGAAAUCUCAGUGCCGAAGCCAACGCAGUGACUCCUCCGCCUGGGGAGUAUGCACGCAAGUGUGAAACUCAAAGGAAUUGACGGGGGCCCGCACAAGCGGUGGAGUAUGUGGUUUAAUUCGAAGCAACGCGAAGAACCUUACCAGGUUUUGACAUCGGAUGCGAAGGUGCAGAGAUGCGCUGGAGGUUAACAUCCAGACAGGUGGUGCAUGGUUGUCGUCAGCUCGUGUCGUGAGAUGUUCAGUUAAGUCUGGCAACGAGCGCAACCCCCGUGGUAUGUUACUAACGCUUAGGGCGAGGACUCAUAUCAGACUGCCGGUGACAAACCGGAGGAAGGCGGGGAUGACGUCAAAUCAUCAUGCCCCUUAUGACCUGGGCUACACACGUACUACAAUGGCGUCUACAGAGGGAAGCGACCCUGAGAAGGGAAGCGAAACCGGAAAAGGGCGUCCCAGUUCGGAUUGAAGUCUGCAACCCGACUUCAUGAAGAUGGAAUCGCUAGUAAUCGCGGAUCAGCAUGCCGCGGUGAAUACGUUCCCGGGCCUUGUACACACCGCCCGUCAAACCAUGGAAGCCGGCAACGCCCGAAGCCGGUGGCAUAACCUUUUAGGAGUGAGCCGUCGAAGGCGGGGCCGAUGACUGGGGUUAAGUCGUAACAAGGUAACC